UCAAACCAUCAAUUGUAACUUCUGUUUUCCUCCUGAUUGGUGGUUGUUAGGAAGUGACGUAACAGAAGCAGGCUUGUAACCUGGAGCUGCAGAUUUGUGAGGAAUAACCUGGAAGCUGGUUCUAGACACGGGUCUUGUUGGGGGUAACCUGGAAACCGGUGUCAGGUACCAACUUUAACUCAAGUUCAACCUUAGGUCAGGUUCUCGAAGAUGGAGCCUGAACCCCAAAAGAUCUGGUCUCUCACUUCCAUCACGUGGUUUUUCCAGAGCAGCCGGGAAAGUACCCAAGACACUAGCUACAGUUUAAGAACGGAGCCCAUCCGCUCCUUCCACCGUCGCUGCAAUGCUUGGCUCAGAAAUGGGCACACAACCUGGUUAAAGAAUCCGAAGAGGCGGCCUGUGCCAGACGCAAGUGAUUUCAGCUGAACAAGCACUCCAAGGGUCACAGAGCUGCUAAGCUUGCAGAAUGCACUGCCGCUUCGGAACUGGCUGGGGGCUGUUGGUGGAGGUCCACGUGGGUAACACAAAGGAACCUGGGUAGUGUUUUUCUUUGGCAAACAAAUAACAGGCCUUUGAUUUGGGAUUAAACCAGGAUGCAGGCGCCCUUCGUUCAGAGAGUUGGGGGAAGAGGGAAGGUGUAUCUUGGACCAUUCCCCUUUGAACGAGAGGCAGAAAUAGUGUUUUACCAGCAGCUCAAGAAAGACCAAGGGCCAAGGGACACACACAACGUGUUUUCUGGGUUCCACUUCUUUAAAAGAACUAUUGUGUUUAAUCCCCCUCCCCAAACCUAUAAGGCAGGUGUAUUGUUGGCUUCUCAGAUGAGAAAGCUGAAGUGUUGUAGAGAGAGGCAUUUGCUCAAGAGAAUGUAAGCAAGCUUUGCCGAAAUUCGUACUGCACAGACAUAUCCCUGCUAUAUGACACCAAAGCGGUUUGCAUCUCUGCAGUUUGCAAAGGACAUCCACAGUCGGCUGCUCUCAGAAUGGCUGCGAGGGAGCUAGCGAUACGGCACCGAGAUGUGGGGGAGCUGAGAGUUCCCAAGGGAUUUGACAGCUGGAAAGCGAGACUUAAACAGAGAAUAAGUCCUGAUCCAGUUUCUUUUCUGUGGGGGGGAAGGGGGGCUUCUGUAAAAAGCAAAGAUGAACAUAAGAGAGAGAGAGACGGGCAUUCACAAGGGAGAAGACCGCGUGAGGGUGCCUAGGGCGUUCGGAAAAGCGAACAAGAUCCACGCCGGUGUGCGAUUGUCUCACGGUCCUGUGUGCCAGUCUGAGCCGUCCUGCCCAGACCUCGACCCAGAUUCUGCCUGGUUGCCCAUCAUGCCUCAGUUUCUCCUUCUAUAAAUAGGAACGAAAGUAGUACUUCCUUCAGGUCCAAACACUAAGAAAACAUGAAGGCUCUCUGGAGGAAAGGACUUUGUAAUGACGGACCAGGGAAUUAACAGGAGAUUCAGCAUUGACUCCAAGCUCGGGCUCAGGCAAAGUCCCUGUUAAAAAGUAGAAGACGAAGACGGUUCAGUGGUAAAAGGCACUGUCUGCUCUUCCAAAGGACCUGGGUUCAAUUCCCAGCACCCACGUGGCAGCUCACAACUGUCUGUAACUCCAGUUCCAAGCAUCUGACACCCUCACACCAAUGCACAUAAAGUAGAAUUAAAUACAUUAUUUAAAAAAAAUUCAAAAACGAACCUGGACGUGGUGGUACACACCUUUGAUCCCAGCACCUGGGAGACAGAGGCAGACAGGCCUCUGAGUUCAAGACCAGCCUGGUCUACAGAGUUCCAAGACAGCCAGAGGUACACAGAGAACCCCUGAAGCCCUGUGGGGGCAGGGGUGACCAGGAAGAGCACAUAUGCAAAAGAAAGAAGCACUGAGCCCACGAACCAGCAGCUGUGGCUGUCUGCUCAAAGUUGAAUGACGUCAAGCCAGUGGACAAUCUAGCGUGACACCCCUAACUGAGAAGCUAUUAACAAUAGAUGGCUUCUGGGGAGGGAGAGUCGGUUUUCCGGAAUUCUGUGGUAGGUUGGCCCUGCUCCAGUGGAUGGCACCACAUCCAGAGUACAUGAGCAAUGCAACUCCAAGUCAACAGUUUAGUAAAAGUAAAAUGGACCGGAGAUUAGGGGACAGGAGUGAGGGGGCUAGAGUAGAGUGUAAAUAUAAUCAAAAUAAUUGUAUGAAAUUUUCAAAGAAAAAAAUUUUUAAAGCGAGAAAACAGGCUGGAUACGGUGGCUUAAACAGUCACAGAGUUGAAGAAGGAGACGGGCUAGUUACAAGUUCAAGGCCAUCUUAGUCUGCAGAGCAAAUUUUAGGUCAGCCAUGGCUACGUAGUGAGACACUGUCUCAAAGAGACAGGAAGAGGAGGAGGAGGAGCAGGAGAAUGAAGAAAAACAAAACAAAACAAAACAAACAAAAAAAAAAAAACCAGAAAACAGAAGACGGUGCCCUGUGAGAGAUUUGGCCUUGAGUUUGUUGAAUUUAGGAGCUGCUAGCAAUGAAAGUGGGGAAUGCUGGGUACAUGGAGGAAGUGCUAUUAGCCAGGACAGGAAAUCAGGAACUACCAAUUUCUCCAGAAGAAGUGCAGGAAGAUGGGAAGCAGGCUGGAGCUAGCUAGUCAGAGAACCAUAGAGCUGCUGUGGGGCAGAGAAAAUGGCAAGAGAGGCUCAGUUUCCAGACUAUCUACUUCCCUUCCGGAAGCCCUAGACAUGUAGGAGAGCUGGCUUUAAAGCGGCCCUUUGGCUGUCCCGGAACUCACUGUGUAGACCAGGCUGACCUCAAACUCAGAGGCCUGCCUCCUCUGCUAGGAUUAAAGGCAUACGCCACCAGGCCCUGCCUAAGCCAUUCUUUUUCAUUGUUACUAUUGCUUUGUUUCUUUGAAACAUUGUAUUGCAAUUGUGGCCAGCAAAACCCUGUAGCAUCUCAUUUCUGGAUAGAGAUCUGAAAAAUGCAGCUGUUAAAUCAGGCAUAGCGGCUCACACCUUUAAUCCCAGCA